AGAGUUUGAUCCUGGCUCAGAAUGAACGUUGGCGGCGUGCCUAACACAUGCAAGUCGAGCGUGAAAGUCCUUCGGGAUGGGUAAAGCGGCGGACGGGUGAGUAACGCGUGAGAAUCUACCUUUCAGUGAAGAAUACCUUUGAGAAAUUGAAGUUAAUGCUGCAUACGUCUCGAAAGAGAGAAAGAUGGCCUCUUUGCUAUCGCUGAAAGAUGAGCUUGCGUUCUAUUAGCUAGUUGGUGAGGUAAAGGCUCACCAAGGCGAUGAUGGAUAGCCGGCCUGAGAGGGCGACCGGCCACAUUGGAACUUAGACACGGUCCAAACUCCUACGGGAGGCAGCAGUGAGGAAUAUUGCACAAUGGGCGCAAGCCUGAUGCAGCGACGCCGCGUGGAGGAUGACGGUCUUCGGAUUGUAAACUCCUGUUAAGUGGGAAAAAAGAACUUCUGUUAAUAGCAGGGGGAGAUGAUGGUACCACUAGAGAAG
rnacentral:rRNA from 1 species